CUUCCGUAGGGUGAACCUGCGGAGGGAUCAUUACCGAGUUUACAACUCCCAAACCCCUGUGAACAUACCAAUUGUUGCCUCGGCGGAUCAGCCCGCUCCCGGUAAAACGGGACGGCCCGCCAGAGGACCCUUAAACUCUGUUUCUAUAUGUAACUUCUGAGUAAAACCAUAAAUAAAUCAAAACUUUCAACAACGGAUCUCUUGGUUCUGGCAUCGAUGAAGAACGCAGCAAAAUGCGAUAAGUAAUGUGAAUUGCAGAAUUCAGUGAAUCAUCGAAUCUUUGAACGCACAUUGCGCCCGCCAGUAUUCUGGCGGGCAUGCCUGUUCGAGCGUCAUUUCAACCCUCAAGCCCAGCUUGGUGUUGGGACUCGCGAGUUAAACCGCGUUCCCCAAAUUGAUUGGCGGUCACGUCGAGCUUCCAUAGCGUAGUAGUAAAACCCUCGUUACUGGUAAUCGUCGCGGCCACGCCGUUAAACCCCAACUUCUGAAUGUUGACCUCGGAUCAGGUAGGAAUACCCGCUGAACUUAAGCAUAUCAAUAAGCGGAGGAA
rnacentral:rRNA from 1 species